AUUCAAAUAGCUUAAUUAGAGCAUAAUAUUGAAGAUAUUAAGGAAAUUGUAAAUUUUUGAGUA
rnacentral:tRNA from 1 species